rnacentral:rRNA from 1 species
GACGAACGCUGGCGGCGUGCCUAAUACAUGCAAGUAGAACGCUGAAGGAGGAGCUUGCUUCUCUGGAUGAGUUGCGAACGGGUGAGUAACGCGUAGGUAACCUGCCUGGUAGCGGGGGAUAACUAUUGGAAACGAUAGCUAAUACCGCAUAAUAGUAGAUGUCGCAUGACAUUUGCUCAAAAGGUGCAAUUGCAUCACUACCAGAUGGACCUGCGUUGUAUUAGCUAGUUGGGGAGGUAACGGCUCACCAAGGCAACGAUACAUAGCCGACCUGCGAGGGUGAUCGGCCACACUGGGACUGGGACACGGCCCAGACUACUACGGGAGGCAGCAGUAGGGAAUCUUCGGCAAUGGACGGAAGUCUGACCGAGCAACGCCGCGUGAGUGAAGAAGGUUGUCGGAUCGUAAAGCUCUGUUGUAAGAGAAGAACGAGUGUGAGAGUGGAAAGUUCACACUGUGACGGUAUCUGACCAGAAAGGGACGGCUAACUACGUG